UACGGAGGGGACUAGCGUUGUUCGGAAUUACUGGGCGUAAAGCGCACGUAGGCGGAUUUGUAAGUCAGGGGUGAAAUCCCGGGGGCUCAACCUCGGAACUGCCUUUUGAUACUGCAAAUCUCGAGUCCGGAAGAGGUGAGUGGAAUUCCUAGUGUAGAGGUGAAAUUCGUAGAUAUUUAGGAAGAACACCAGUGGCGAAGGCGGCUCACCUGGUCCGGUACUGACGCUGAGGUGCGAAAGCGUGGGGA
rnacentral:rRNA from 1 species